rnacentral:rRNA from 1 species
GACGAACGCUGGCGGCGUGCUUAACACAUGCAAGUCGAACGGAAAGGCCCUGCUUUUGUGGGGUGCUCGAGUGGCGAACGGGUGAGUAACACGUGAGUAACCUGCCCUUGACUUUGGGAUAACUUCAGGAAACUGGGGCUAAUACCGGAUAGGAGCUCCUGCUGCAUGGUGGGGGUUGGAAAGUUUCGGCGGUAGGGGAUGGACUCGCGGCUUAUCAGCUUGUUGGUGGGGUAGUGGUUUACCAAGGCUUUGACGGGUAGCCGGCCUGAGAGGGUGACCGGCCACAUGGGGCCUGAGAGACGCACCAGACGCCUACGUGAGACAGCAGGGGGAAACAUUGCACAAUGAGCGGGAGCGUAAUGCAGCAGCGCCGCGGGUGUAAUGACGGCCUUCGAGGGAUGAACCGCUUUCGCCUGAGACGAAGCGUGAGUGACGGUAAUGGAUAAAGAAGCACCGGCUAACUACGUG